rnacentral:rRNA from 1 species
AUUGAACGCUGGCGGCAGGCCUAACACAUGCAAGUCGAGCGAGCGGCGGACGGGUGAGCAAUGAAUGGGAAACUGACUGAUGGAGGGGGAAAACUACCGGAAACGGUAGCUAAUAACGCCUACAAUCAGAUGGGCCCAGUUGGGAUCAGCUAGUAGGAGGGGCAAUGGCUCACCAAGGCGAAGAUCCCUAGCUGGUCUGAGAGGCUGACCAGGCAAACUGGAACUGAGACACGGUCCAGACUCCUACGGGAGGCAGCAGUGGGGAAUAUUGCACAAUGGGCGCAAGCCUGAUGCAGCCAUGCCGCGUGUGUGAAGAAGGCCUUCGGGUUGUAAAGCACUUUCAGCGGGGAGGCGUUACUCACAGAAGAAGCACCGGCUAACUCCGUGCCAGCAGCCGCGGUAAUUC